UACGGAGGGUGCAAGCGUUUAUCCGGAUUCACUGGGUUUAAAGGGUGCGUAGGUGGGUCUGUAAGUCAGUGGUGAAAUCUCCGUGCUUAACAUGGAACUGCCAUUGAUACUAUAGGUCUUGAAUUUUCUGGAGGUCAGCGGAAUAUGUCAUGUAGCGGUGAAAUGCUUAGAUAUGACAUAGAACACCAAUUGCGAAGGCAGCUGGCUACAGGGAUAUUGACACUGAGGCACGAAAGCGUGGGGAUCAAACAGG
rnacentral:rRNA from 1 species